AGCUUUGCGUACUGCCAGUAUCGUACCCGAUGAGGUUUAUCUGAGGCACGAUUGUUGAUCAUUGGAAACUUUUCCCAAUACCCCCCCAUCCCGUGACGACUUGCAAUAUAGUCGGCAUUGGCAAUUUUUGACAGUCUCUAUGGAGA
ensembl:snRNA U4 U4 spliceosomal RNA